GGGUUGUGGUAGGUGACAACCAGCACAAAAAUUCCCUCAUACCUCAUGAUAUGGAUUCUUACGAAAUAAACGUUGGAGCGUUCUCUACUUACAAUCCCCUACGUCGAAGCCAGGGUGUAGUGAGAAAUAUGCAAGCGUGUAGGGCAUUCAACGAAAGCGAAGCGCCAUACCGGCGCCUGGGUGUGGUGUUAAAUAAGCAAGGGUUCC
rnacentral:misc_RNA from 1 species